GUGCUCGCUUCAGCAGCACAUAUACUAAAAUUGGAAUGAUACAGAGAAGAUUAGUGUGGCCCCUGCAUAAGGAUGACAUGCAAAUUCGUGAAGUGUUCCAUAUUAUA
rnacentral:snRNA from 1 species